AACGAACGCUGGCGGCAUGCCUAACACAUGCAAGUCGAACGAGACCUUCGGGUCUAGUGGCGCCCGGGUGCGUCACGCGUGGGAAUCUUCCCUUGUGUUCGGCAUAACAGUUGGAAACGAAUGCUAAUACCGGAUGAUGACGUAAGUCCAAAGAUUUAUCGCCCAAGGAUGGGCCAGCGUAGGAUUAGCUAGUUGGUGAGGUAAAGGCUCACCAAGGCGACGAUCCUUAACUGGUCUGAGAGGAUGAUCAGCCACACCGGGACUGAGACACGGCCCAGACUCCUACGGGAGGCAGCAGUGGGGAAUAUGGGAAAAUGGGCGAGAGCCUGAUCCAGCAAUGGCGCGUGAGUGAUGAAGGCCUUAGGGUUGUAAAGCUCUUUUACCCGGGAUGAUAAUGACAGUACCGGGAGAAGAAGCCCCGGCUAACUCCGGG
rnacentral:rRNA from 1 species